UCGACCUUUGUUUGUGCUAAAUCUUGUAGGAUAAUAUUAUUUGGUGGUUAAAGUUUGUUUUAAUUCGUUGCAUGUCGAGAAAAAGCUUGAAGAACUCAACAUUCUUUAUAUUCUGUGAUUUGAAAUCAGUGUUAGUGAACUGGGUUUCUUACUCGAUUUUUUUUAUUUCAGUUUGUCAUUUUUUUUAACUAAAAGGUGAAUGAUAUUUUCUGUUUCAAUAAGUUAUUUCAGCUUGUUCUUCUCUCUUAGCAGCAUUUCUCAUUAGCAAAAUGUAUCGUUUUGUAGCAAAUCUUGCUUCCAAAGCCAGAGUGGCAAGAACCAACACCCAACAAAUUGGUGGAAGGUUAAAUUGGAGUAGAAGUUAUGCUGCAAAGGAUAUUAGAUUUGGUGUUGAAGCUCGAGCUGCAAUGCUUCAAGGUAUUGAAGAACUUGCUGAUGCUGUUAAGUCACUAUGGGUCCAAAGGUGAAUUUUUUAUCAACCCCAUUAGUCAAUACACUCUGUUUGUUACAUAGAUUGUUUAUAUAUUUAUAUGUAAACAAUUCAACCCCAUUAGUGAAUACACACUGUUUGUUACAUAGAUUGUUCAUAUAUUUAUAUGUAAACAAUGUUUAGUAUAAAAUAUUGUGACUUAUAGUACUUGAAAUGUUACUGCAUCUUUAGAAGCUGAAAUAAGUGUCAGGUUGCUGAUUGUUUUUUAGGCAAGCAACUGCUAUAGUGGAGACAUAUUUUGUGCCUUACUUUGCUAUUUGAUGAACUGCUACUACAUUUGAA